UCUCCUCCAGUCAACAUGCUGAGGUGGUUCUGCUCCAUUUUUAUGGUUCUGAACCUUCUAUCAGGUGUCUGUGUUGGACGACUGACUCCAGUCAUGGUCCAAGAGUCAUAUGAAGAAGGCAGAGAUGUCACUCUGUCCUGCACCAUCUCUCCUCCUGCUUCUCCCCAGGACUACCUCUCCUGGUACCGACAGCACCCUGGAGGAUCACUGGAACAUCUGGUAUUUCACUUAGCAAUGGAAAAAGAAGUGAUGCGUCCAGGCCUGACUGCUGGAGUGACAGCUGACAGAAACCAGAUGGAGCUGAAGAUCAAGUCUGCUGCAGUGACGGACUCUGCUGUGUACUUCUGUGCUCUGCAGCCCACAGUGACAAUAAACACUUAUUCUCUACACAAAAACCUCUCUCACUCUUCCACCAGGGGGCGUCACUCUGCGCUGCCACAUGACCAGUGA